CAAUAGCGUAUAUUUAAGUUGUUGCAGUUAAAAAGCUCGUAGUUGGAUUUCGGGUGGGACGCAGCGGUCUCGCAUUGCGUUUGUACUGCUGCAGCCCUACUUCUUGCCGGGGGCGGCCUCUCGGACUUCACUGUCUGGGGGUCAGAAUCGGCGAUGUUACUUUGAGUAAAUUAGAGUGUUCAAAGCAAGCUUACGCUCUGAAUAUAAUAGCAUGGGAUAACACGACAGGACUCUGGCCUAUCGUGUUGGUCUAUAGGACCAGAGUAAUGAUUAAGAGGGACAGUCGGGGGCAUUCGUAUUCCGUUGUCAGAGGUGAAAUUCUUGGAUUUACGGAAGACGAACAUCUGCGAAAGCAUUUGCCAAGGAUGUUUUCAUUGA
rnacentral:rRNA from 1 species